AAGGUUUGGGCUCACCAAGGUGGGACCUGCUGGAAAUUGGGGUCACCAAGGUGGGACCUGGAGAAGGUUUGGGGUCACCAAGGUGGGACCUGGUGGAGAUUUGGGGUCACCAAGGUGGGACCUGGAACUGGUGGGGUCACCACGGUGGGACCUGGUGGAGAUCUGAGGUCACCAAGGUGGGACCUGGAACUGGUGGGAGCACCAAGGUGGGACCUGGAGAAGGUUUGGGGUCACCGAGGUGAGACCUGGUGGACAUGGGAGUCACCGAGGUGGGACCUGGAGAAGAUCUGGGGUCACCAAGGUGGGACCUGGUGGAGAUCUGGGGUCACCAAGGUGGGACCUUGAGAGGAUUUGGUGUCACCAAGGUGGGACCUGGAAGUGGUGGGAGCACCAAGGA